GAGUAUACUGUGAAACUGCGAAUGGCUCAUUAAAUCAGUUAUGGUUUAUUUGAUGGUACCUUGCUACUUGGAUAACCGUAGUAAUUCUAGAGCUAAUACAUGCAGGAGUUCCCGACUUCGGAAGGGAUGUAUUUAUUAGAUAAGAAACCAAACCGGUCUCCGGUUGCGUGCUGAGUCAUACUAACUGCUCGAAUCGCACGGCUUUACGCUGGCGAUGGUUCAUUCAAAUUUCUGCCCUAUCAGCUUUCGAUGGUAGGAUAGAGGCCUACCAUGGCGUUAACGGGUAACGGAGAAUUAGGGUUCGAUUCCGGAGAGGGAGCCUGAGAAAUGGCUACCACAUCCAAGGAAGGCAGCAGGCGCGUAAAUUGCCCGAAUCCUGACACAGGGAGGUAGUGACAAGAAAUAACAAUACAGGGCUCUUCGAGUCUUGUAAUUGGAAUGAGUACAAUUUACAUCUCUUCACGAGGAUCAAUUGGAGGGCAAGUCUGGUGCCAGCAGCCGCGGUAAUUCCAGCUCCAAUAGCGUAUAUUAAAGUUGUUGCAGUUAAAACGCUCGUAGUCGGAUUUCGGGGCGGUCCCGCCGGUCUGCCGAUGGGUACGCACUGGCGGGCGCGUCCUUCCUCCCGGAGACGGCCGCUACUCUUAACUGAGCGGUGGUCGGAGACGGGAUGUUUACUUUGAAAAAAUCAGAG
rnacentral:rRNA from 1 species